rnacentral:rRNA from 1 species
GAUGAACGCUGGCGGCGUGCCUAAUACAUGCAAGUCGAGCGAACGGACGAGAAGCUUGCUUCUCUGAUGUUAGCGGCGGACGGGUGAGUAACACGUGGAUAACCUACCUAUAAGACUGGGAUAACUUCGGGAAACCGGAGCUAAUACCGGCUAAUAUUUUGAACCGCAUGGUUCAAAAGUGAAAGACGGUCUUGCUGUCUCUUAUAGAUGGAUCCGCGCUGCAUUAGCUAGUUGGUAAGGUAACGGCUUACCAAGGCAACGAUGCGUAGCCGACCUGAGAGGGUGAUCGGCCACACUGGAACUGAGACACGGUCCAGACUCCUACGGGAGGCAGCAGUAGGGAAUCUUCCGCAAUGGGCGAAAGCCUGACGGAGCAAUGCCGCGUGAGUGAUGAAGGUCUUCGGAUCGUAAAACUCUGUUAUUAGGGAAGAACAUAUGUGUAAGUAACUGUGCACAUCUUGACGGUACCUAAUCAGAAAGCCACGGCUAACUACGUG